rnacentral:rRNA from 1 species
AAAGUACGUGAACUGCUUAGAGGUUAAACCCGAUGAACCUAAAUAUCCAGUAUGAGAAAGUCAUUAUUAUGAGUAUAUUAUUUUAUAAUGUAUUAAUAGUGUGCAUUUUUUUCAUAAAAAGGACAUUGUAAUCUGUUAAUACAAUUUAUAUAUUCUUUUAUAUAUUAUUUUUAUCAUAAAGAGUCAUGUAUAAGUUUACAUAUAAAUUAAUUAAUUUAUUAAUUAAUUGAUGUAAGAUCGAUGAAUUUCUAGAUAAAUAGUUAACAGUAUUAAAAUAUAUAAUGCUUACAUAAUUUUUUAUGUUUUAUAUAUAAUAUGUACAUGUACAUAUAUAUGUUUUUGCAUUUAUAUUAUUAACAAUGCUAUAGAGU